rnacentral:rRNA from 1 species
GAUGAACGCUGGCGGCGUGCCUAAUACAUGCAAGUCGAGCGAACAGAUAAGGAGCUUGCUCCUUUGACGUUAGCGGCGGACGGGUGAGUAACACGUGGGUAACCUACCUAUAAGACUGGAAUAACUCCGGGAAACCGGGGCUAAUGCCGGAUAACCUUUAGAACCGCAUGGUUCUAAAGUGAAAGAUGGUGUUGCUGUCACUUAUAGAUGGACCCGCGCCGUAUUAGCUAGUUGGUAAGGUAACGGCUUACCAAGGCAACGAUACGUAGCCGACCUGAGAGGGUGAUCGGCCACACUGGAACUGAGACACGGUCCAGACUCCUACGGGAGGCAGCAGUAGGGAAUCUUCCGCAAUGGGCGAAAGCCUGACGGAGCAACGCCGCGUGAGUGAUGAAGGUCUUCGGAUCGUAAAACUCUGUUAUGAGGGAAGAACAAAUGUGGAAGUAACUGUGCACGUCUUGACGGUACCUAAUCAGAAAGCCACGGCUAACUACGUG